rnacentral:lncRNA from 1 species
CAUGGUUCAACCAUGGUUUCUUGGUUUAAUAAAGAAUGAAAAUUAUGCAAGAAAAUAGAAGAAAAGAAAAUGGAGGACCGUUUAAGUUAAGAUGAAACAUAUGUACAAAACUGCACCUCAAAAUUUUCAAAAUAUUUGCGGGAUUGGUCAAACAAUGAAAUAUGUCGUUAUCCUCUUGAAUACCACCCUUCUCCCUCUGUCAUAUUUUUCCAGUUAGAGUCCCACUGUUAUUAUAGAAACAAAAGUUUGACCAAAGACUAAACACCCGUUUAAAUGGACCACACACACUCUGUGUCAAGUGUGUAUAAUAAUAUCUCCUCUAUCUUCUUACCCUGUGUUGUGUUGUGCUGUGUAUGAGAACCCAAACAGAAACAAAGAGAAAGAAGCAUCACAGAGAGAAAACAAAAGCAUUACAAUUAAAGGAAAAGAAUGGCUAAGAUAAGGGAGAAGUUAUACGUCAGCGUUCCGAGUCUCUUUCGGUGCCCAAUUUCAAUGGACGUCAUGCAGUCCCCUGUAAGCCUCUGCACCGGCGUCACAUACGAUCGCGCCAGCAUUCAGCGCUGGCUAGACUUAGGACACGACACGUGUCCCGCCACCAUGCAGG